UGGAAGUAAAAGUCGUAACAAGGUUUC
rnacentral:rRNA from 1 species